UACGUAGGCAGCAAGCGUUGUUCGGAGUUACUGGGCGUAAAGGGUGUGUAGGCGGUUGGAUAAGUGUGGUGUGAAAUCUCCCGGCUCAACUGGGGAGGGUCACUCGAUACUGAUCGACUCGAAGGCAGGAGAGGGAAGUGGAAUUCCCGGUGUAGUGGUGAAAUGCGUAGAUAUCGGGAGGAACACCAGUGGCGAAGGCGACUUCCUGGCCUGUUCUUGACGCUGAGGCGCGAAAGCUAGGGGAGCAAACGGG
rnacentral:rRNA from 1 species